rnacentral:rRNA from 1 species
GACGAACGCUGGCGGCGUGCUUAACACAUGCAAGUCGAACGGUGAAGCGCCUUCCUUUUUGGUGGGUGUGGAUGAGUGGCGAACGGGUGAGUAACACGUGAGUAACCUGCCCCCUUCUUCUGGAUAACCGCAUGAAAGUGUGGCUAAUACGGGAUAUUCUGGGUCUGUCGCAUGAUGGGUCUGGGAAAGAUAUUGUUUCGGUGGGGGAUGGGCUCGCGGCCUAUCAGCUUGUUGGUGGGGUGAUGGCCUACCAAGGCGGUGACGGGUAGCCGGCCUGAGAGGGUGGCCGGUCACACUGGGACUGAGACACGGCCCAGACUCCUACGGGGGGCAGCAGUGGGGAAUAGUGCACAAUGGGCGCAAGCCUGAUGCAGCGACGCCGCGUGAGGGAUGGAGGCCUGCGGGUUGUGAACCUCUUUCGCCAGUGAAGCAGGCCUGCCUGGUGUGUGGGUGGGUUGACGGUAGCUGGAUAAGAAGCGCCGGCUAACUACGUG